rnacentral:rRNA from 1 species
UACAGAGGGGGCGAGCGUUGUUCGGAAUUACUGGGCGUAAAGGGCGCGUAGGCGGCCAACUAAGUCAGACGUGAAAUCCCUCGGCUCAACCGGGGAACUGCGUCUGAUACUGGAUGGCUUGAAUUCGGGAGAGGGAUGCGGAAUUCCAGGUGUAGCGGUGAAAUGCGUAGAUAUCUGGAGGAAUACCGGUGGCGAAGGCGGCAUCCUGGACCGGCAUUGACGCUGAGGAGCGAAAGCUAGGGGAGCAAACGGG